rnacentral:rRNA from 1 species
UGGGGAAUUUUGGACAAUGGGGGAAACCCUGAUCCAGCCAUCCCGCGUGUGCGAUGAAGGCCUUCGGGUUGUAAAGCACUUUUGGCAGGAAAGAAACGUCGCGGGUUAAUACCCCGCGAAACUGACGGUACCUGCAGAAUAAGCACCGGCUAACUACGUGCCAGCAGCCGCGGUAAUACGUAGGGUGCAAGCGUUAAUCGGAAUUACUGGGCGUAAAGCGUGCGCAGGCGGUUCGGGAAGAAAGAUGUGAAAUCCCAGAGCUUAACUUUGGAACUGCAUUUUUAACUACCGGGCUAGAGUGUGUCAGAGGGAGGUGGAAUUCCGCGUGUAGCAGUGAAAUGCGUAGAUAUGCGGAGGAACACCGAUGGCGAAGGCAGCCUCCUGGGAUAACACUGACGCUCAUGCACGAAAGCGUGGGGAGCAAACAGGAUUAGAUACCCUGGUAGUCCACGCCCUAAACGAUGUCAACUAGCUGUUGGGGCCUUCGGGCCUUGGUAGCGCAGCUAACGCGUGAAGUUGACCGCCUGGGGAGUACGGUCGCAAGAUUAAAACUUAAAUGAAUUGACGGGGUCAUAGCUGUUUCCU